UCCGGCAUAGUGUAACGGCUAACAUACCUCGCUUUCACCGAGGAGCUCGGGGUUCGACUCCUUGUGCCGGAG
rnacentral:tRNA from 1 species